rnacentral:rRNA from 1 species
UACAGAGGUCCCAAGCGUUGUUCGGAUUCACUGGGCGUAAAGGGUGCGUAGGUGGUGAGGUAAGUCUGAUGUGAAAUCUCCAAGCUUAACUUGGAAAUGGCAUUGGAAACUACCUUGCUAGAGGAUUGGAGGGGAGACUGGAAUUCUUGGUGUAGCAGUGAAAUGCGUAGAUAUCAAGAGGAACACCAGUGGCGAAAGCGAGUCUCUGGACAAAUCCUGACACUGAGGCACGAAAGCUAGGGGAGCAAACAGG